rnacentral:rRNA from 1 species
GACGAACGCUGGCGGCGUGCCUAACACAUGCAAGUCGAACGAAGUGGCGAACGGGUGAGUAACGAGUAAUCAACCUGCCCUUCAGAGGGGGAUAACAGUUGGAAACGACUGCUCAUACCCAAUACGGAAGGAGGGGCUUGCGUCUGAUCAGCUAGUGGGAGGGGUAACGGCCCACAAAGGCGAUGAUCAGUAGGCGGUCUGAGAGGAUGAACGGCCACAAUGGGACUGAGACACGGCCCAGACCCCUACGGGAGGCAGCAGUGGGGAAUCUUCCGCAAUGGACGAAAGUCUGACGGAGCAACGCCGCGGGAGUGAUGACGGCCUUCGGGUUGUAAAGCUCUGUUAAUCGGGACGCGGUACCGGAAUAGAAAGCCACGGCUAACUACGUGCCAGCAGCCGCGGUAAUUC